UAUAAAGCGUUGAAGAAGAAGAGUACCUUAUUGUUUGUUCUAUAGAGAGCCGGUGGUUGGUGUAAAUCGGUGAACAACUUUAAGCGAAUGGGCUUCUGAGCUCCAAACCGAAAUGUAAAGUAGGCUUUGGCGGAACGUCUCAUCGUUAUUUGAGGCAGGCAUUUUAAUUAAUGCUGUAAAGUGAGCUUUCGAGCUAAUAAAGGUGGUACCACGGGUUCCUCGUCCUUUUG
rnacentral:ncRNA from 1 species